rnacentral:rRNA from 1 species
CAGCCGUAAACAAUGUGCGUUAGGUGUGUCGGUAACCACGUGUUACUGAUGCGCCGAAGAGAAAUCGUGAAACGCACCACCUGGGAAGUACGGUCGCAAGGCUGAAACUUAAAGGAAUUGGGCGGGGGAGCACCACAACAGGUGGAGCCUGCGGUUUAAUUGGACUCAACGCCGGAAAUCUCACCGGAUAGGACAGACAUAUGAUAGUCGGGCUGAAGACUCUACUUGAUGAUCUGAGAGGAGGUGCAUGGCGUCAGUGACU